GGGCACCUGAUCCAGCCAUGCCGCGUGUGNAAGAAGGCCUUCGGGUUGUAAAGCACUUUCGGACGGAACGAAAUCGCGUCGGUGAAUAUCCGGCGUGGAUGACGGUACCGUAAGAAGAAGCACCGGCUAACUACGUGCCAGCAGCCGCGGUAAUACGUAGGGUGCGAGCGUUAAUCGGAAUUACUGGGCGUAAAGCGUGCGCAGGCGGUUUCGCAAGUCAGACGUGAAAGCCCCGGGCUUAACCUGGGAAUGGCGCCUGUGACUGUACGGCUAGAGUGUGUCAGAGGGGGGUAGAAUUCCACGUGUAGCAGUGAAAUGCGUAGAUAUGUGGAGGAAUACCAAUGGCGAAGGCAGCCCCCUGGGAUAACACUGACGCUCAUGCACGAAAGCGUGGGGAGCAAACAGGAUUAGAUACCCUGGUAGUCCACGCCCUAAACGAUGCUGACUAGUUGUUCGGGAUUUACAUCCUGAGUAACGUAGCUAACGCGUGAAGUCAGCCGCCUGGGGAGUA
rnacentral:rRNA from 1 species